AAUUUACUGAACUAACCUAAAAUUACAGGACUUAAUACAAACAUUGCAGACUAAAACUACAAGACUUAAUUGAGUCUUAGUUUAAAAGCUUGACAAGUGAUCUCUCUAAAUGUGACUUAUUUCUGAAUGUUUCAUCAAACUUUUAAGUUAUUCAUGAGAUAUUUUGCUAAACAGACAGUCUACCUUCAAUAGUGCUCAAUGAAAACGGACAAUUCUCACAUCUCAUUUGUCUGAGUUUUGGUUUGUAAGCUUUUAGCAGAAAUUACGCUUUCUCUCAUUACCUCUCAGAUUUUUGCUAAAACCAGAUCAACAUCCGAAGCACUCUAAAUAUUUUUCUCCUUUAAAACCAUGUCAGAAUGACACAAACUGCCCUGGAGCUGACAAAUGUUGUUUACUUGAUUACAUAUCUGYUUGUGCUUCUCCUAUUCAAAAGGAGAGAUACAAUAUUMAACUAAGUUUAUAAUAACGAGUGUGUUCAAUCCAUUUAAAUUAAAAUGUUAAAGCAAUCAGUGUUUAUCUCAAAGCUCAUAUUUGUCUGACUGCAUAAAUAAUUGUUUUCUCAUUUUCCUCAGCAGRUCGUGAGUGUCCACCUCCAUGGGUUUGGCAAUGUGGAUAUCAGUGCUCUUGGGAUAGAUUCUGCAUAGAUGGUAAAUGCUGUUAUAAUAUAUGUGGUUCCAGAUGCAUACCACUAAUAGGCCCAAGAGAUUAGCCAAAUCUUUGUGGAAAACAUGUGUUCAUUCCUCAUUGUCAUGAUGGUAAUGAUGGUGAAUGCAGCUGCAACAAGAAGUGCUCUCUAAACAGAUGUGAAGACACCUGUAAACAAUGUUUUUUUUUCUUUUCUUAAAAACACCAAAAUGAGAUGCAUCCUACAGUCCAGUAUGCUUUUCUUUGGUUUCUUUAAUAAAUUCAUAAUGAUAAAAAA